rnacentral:rRNA from 1 species
AUGUGGGAGUGGGACGCCACCUCCCUCGCCGGCGCCCUCAAAUCCGCCGCCACUGGCCGUUCCACUCCCCAUGUCAAACCCCUCCACGCUGUCCUCCUCAAGCUCGGCCUGUCGGCGUCCGCCAUACUAGCUACCUCACUCGCGCACCUGGCACUCAGGUGCGGGCUCCCUGGUUACGCCCGCGCUCUGUUCGACGAAAUGCCCAGACGGGACGUGGUCUCCUGGACGUCCCUCAUUACCGGCCACGCUCACCAGGGUUUGCACGCAGAUUCUCUCGCACUUCUGAGGCGCAUGGUGGAAUCUGGUGUUGCUCCCAACGGGUACACCCUGUCCGGUGGUUUGCUCGCGUGUGCCGGGGUUGGCCAGGCCGCCCUUGCUGCCGGGAAGGAAAUCCAUGCCAGGGUUGUGAAGAUGAGUAUGUAUGGCCCGGUCGAUUCAGUUGUGGAUAACGGGGUUCUUGACAUGUAUGCGAGGUGCCGGAAUGUUGAAUAUGCGAGGAGAGCGUUUGGGGUGAUGGUGGCGAGGGACAUUGUUGCGUGGAACUCGAUGAUGGCUGGGUAUCUCGGGAGUGGUCAAGCUGAGGAGACUCUGGGCUUGUUUGCGUCAAUGGUUUCUUGUGAGGUUGGUGCAGAUGGCUUCUCGUAUGCCAUAAUUGUGGAUGCGUGUGGGGAGCUGGCGUUGUUAAAACAGGGGAUGCAAGUGCAUGCACGGGUUCUUGGUGCAGGAUUUGAUUCUGAUGUUGUUGUAAGGAAUUCCUUGCUGGAUAUGUAUGCAAAGUGUGGAUGUGUUGAUUCAGCAGAGCUUGUCUUCAAUGGGACACCUUCAUUAGAUGCUGUUUUGUGGACUACGAUGAUCUCAGCCUAUGGCAAGUUUGGUCGUGCACAAGACGCGGUAUGCUUGUUUGAUAGGAUGGCACGUUUGGGCAUCAAAAGAGAUGGAGUAGCAUACCUUGCGGUGUUGUCAGCUUGUAGCCAUGGUGGACUUGUUCGAGAAGGUUGGCACUACUUCAAGUUUCUGUUUGAUGGCCAAAGCUCGGUUAAGCUGCAGCCUGAGCACUACGGUUGUAUGGCAGAUCUAAUUUGCAGGAGAGGUCACCUAGAAGAUGCUCUUGAAUUCAUUGAGAAUAUGCCAUUUGAGUCGAGCAUUGCUGCUUGGAGUGCGCUACUUAAUUCCUGUCGAAUCUAUGGGGAUGCUAAGUUAGGUCAGCUUGCAGCGUCCCGUUUACUCGAGCUUGAUCCAGAGAACCACAGUAACUGGGUUGCUUUAUCAAGUAUACAUGCAUCGGAGGGCGAUUGGCAUGAGACAUGGAUGAUCAGGGAGAACAUGAACAGAGAGUGGGUGAAGAAAGAGCCUGGAUGUAGUUGGGUCGAGUUGCAUGAUGGAAUUCAUGUAUUUCUAAUGGCUGAUCAGUCUCACCCUGAAUUGGUUAAUGUACUGCAGACUCUUGAUUCUUUAAGGAAGAUAUAUGGGUGA